rnacentral:rRNA from 1 species
AUAGAAAAUAGGUGCCCGUACCGCAAACCGACACAGGUAGUCAAGAUGAGAAUUCUAAGGUGAGCGAGCGAACUCUCGUUAAGGAACUCGGCAAAAUGACCCCGUAACUUCGGGAGAAGGGGUGCUCUUUAGGGUUAACGCCCAGAAGAGCCGCAGUGAAUAGGCCCAAGCGACUGUUUAUCAAAAACACAGGUCUCUGCUAAACCGUAAGGUGAUGUAUAGGGGCUGACGCCUGCCCGGUGCUGGAAGGUUAAGAGGAGUGGUUAGCUUCUGCGAAGCUACGAAUCGAAGCCCCAGUAAACGGCGGCCGUAACUAUAACGGUCCUAAGGUAGCGAAAUUCCUUGUCGGGUAAGUUCCGACCCGCACGAAAGGCGUAACGAUUUGGGCACUGUCUCAACGAGAGACUCGGUGAAAUCAUAGUACCUGUGAAGAUGCAGGUUACCCGCGACAGGACGGAAAGACCCCGUGGAGCUUUACUGUAGCCUGAUAUUGAAAUUCGGCACAGCUUGUACAGGAUAGGUAGGAGCCUUUGAAACGUGAGCGCUAGCUUACGUGGAGGCGCUGGUGGGAUACUACCCUAGCUGUGUUGGCUUUCUAACCCGCACCACUUAUCGUGGUGGGAGACAGUGUCAGGCGGGCAGUUUGACUGGGGCGGUCGCCUCCUAAAAGGUAACGGAGGCGCUCAAAGGUUCCCUCAGAAUGGUUGGAAAUCAUUCAUAGAGUGUAAAGGCAUAAGGGAGCUUGACUGCGAGACCUACAAGUCGAGCAGGGUCGAAAGACGGACUUAGUGAUCCGGUGGUUCCGCAUGGAAGGGCCAUCGCUCAACGGAUAAAAGCUACCCCGGGGAUAACAGGCUUAUCUCCCCCAAGAGUUCACAUCGACGGGGAGGUUUGGCACCUCGAUGUCGGCUC